UACGUAGGGGGCAAGCGUUGUCCGGAAUCAUUGGGCGUAAGGCGCGUGUAGGCGGCCAGGUAAGUCCGUUCUGAAAGCCCGGGGCUCAACCCCGGGAGGCGGAUGGAUACUGCUUGGCUCGAGUCCGGAAGAGGCGAGUGGAAUUCCCGGUGUAGCGGUGAAAUGCGCAGAUAUCGGGAGGAACACCAAUGGCGAAGGCAGCUCGCUGGGACGGUACUGACGCUGAGACGCGAAAGCGUGGGGAGCAAACAGG
rnacentral:rRNA from 1 species